UACGUAGGGGGGCAAGCGUUGUCCGGAAUCAUUGGGCUAAAGAGCGCGUAGGCGGCCCUGUAAGUCCGCUGUGAAAGUCAAGGGCUCAACCCUUGGAUGCCGGUGGAUACUGCAGGGCUAGAGUCCGGAAGAGGCGAGUGGAAUUCCUGGUGUAGCGGUGAAAUGCGCAGAUAUCAGGAGGAACACCGAUGGCGAAGGCAGCUCGCUGGGACGGUACUGACGCUGAGGCGCGAAAGCGUGGGGAGCAAACAGG
rnacentral:rRNA from 1 species